rnacentral:lncRNA from 1 species
CUGGAAGUGCUUAGAUAUAAAUUGACACACUUUUGGCUUCUAACUCAUGUUAUCUACUGUGUAUUUAACAGAUAACCUUUGGCUUUGCCCUGUUUUUGUUUACAAUUCAGAGUCCAAAGUGACUUCACUGAAAGUUUAUUUGACAGUUGUGAGAGCAAAAUCAUGCUUGUUGGACUAACCUGAAAGCUUCUAUGCCGCGUUCAUCCUGUGAUAGUGUUAAACAUUUAUUAAAAAAACAUUUUAUUCUAAUUUGGUUCUGGCAUUGCCCCCACAAUUGUAUCCAGCAUCUGGGACUUUUUCUCCCAUCCUGAGCUAAAGUGUUGGGGGUUUCAUUUCGAGUCCCAGUUCAGGUGUGUGCGGUGGGCUGGGCUGUCUCUGCAGCGUGCCCAUGGUCAAAGAACGAGGCCUGGAGAGACAGGGUGGUGAAGCUUGCCUCGAUCCUCAGCCCUUGGGGAGUGCAUCGCAUAGCCUCCAGCUGCCCUGAGAAAGCAGCCACCUUCGCAGGCUGCUACCAGCUAAGACGCUGUUAUCCAGAAUGUCCGUGUACCCAUGUGUGGGGUGGAUGUGAAACCAAGCUGCCCUCUGGGAAGGAGAUUGUCAGCUGUUAGGAGGAAAGAAAAUGUGAAGAGCAAAUUGAUGAUAGCUGCUGACAUCUUUGCAGGGCAGACCAUGACAUCAGUCUCCAGAGCAAUAGGAGGUGGCAGGCAUCCUGAGAAGAUCUGUGCUUUCAAGGAUUUGUCUAUUGCCAGGAAGCUCUCCUCACCAUGCACCUGCAAAGGUAACAGACAGCAGUGAUAGAGCACACCUGCUUUCGUUCGGCACCUCCCUCCUACCAUUUGAGAGAAGUCUUCUGCCCUCUUAGCUGGUCUUUUCUACAGCAUGGGCUCUAAUAAAAUUGGUAUGUUAUGUGCA